rnacentral:rRNA from 1 species
AUUGAACGCUGGCGGCAGGCCUAACACAUGCAAGUCGAACGAGUGGCGGACGGGUGACUUAUGUCUGUGCAUCUGCCUGGUGGAUGGGGAUCACUACUGGAAACUGUUGCUAAUAACGCCUACCUUCCGCUGUGCCCAGAUGGGAUUGGCUUGUUGGUGGGGUAAAGGCUCACCAAGGCGACGAUCCCUAGCUGGUCUGAGAGGAUGACCAGCCACACUGGAACUGAGACACGGUCCAGACUCCUACGGGAGGCAGCAGUGGGGAAUAUUGCACAAUGGGCGAAAGCCUGAUGCAGCCAUGCCGCGUGUAUGAAGAAGGUCUUCGGGUUGUAAAGUACUUUAAGCGGGGAGGCGUUACCCACAGAAGAAGCACCGGCUAACUCCGUGCCAGCAGCCGCGGUAAUUC